GUGCUUGUUUGGACAGCACAUAUACCAAAAUUGGAAUGACACAGAAAAGAUUAGCUUAGCCCCUGAGCAAGGAUGACACACAAAUUUGCAAAAAAUUUCAUAUUGUU